UACGGGGGGAGCAAGCGUUGUUCGGAUUUACUGGGCGUAAAGGGCGCGUAGGCGGCCUCCGCAAGUCGACUGUGAAAUCUCCGGGCUUAACCCGGAAAGGUCAGCCGAUACUGCGGGGCUAGAGUGCGGAAGGGGCAACUGGAAUUCUUGGUGUAGCGGUGAAAUGCGUAGAUAUCAAGAGGAACACCUGCGGCGAAGGCGCUGUCCUGGACGAAGAUUGACGCUGAGGUGCGAAAGCGUGGGGAGCAAACAGG
rnacentral:rRNA from 1 species